UACCUAUUAUUGGAUAGAGACAGAAAUUGAGGGGGGGGAGGGGAAGAUAGAGAGGGAAAGAGUCAGAGACACCUGCAGUUGGGGACCAGGGGCUUGAACCUAGGUCUUUGAGCUUUGUAACGUGUGUGCUUAACCAGGUGUGCCACCGCCUGGCACCCUGCCUUUGUUUAUAAAUGUCUUAUUAUUUCAAAAAUCUGCAUGGUAGAUACCUACCGUAUAUCUCACUUGAUAAAUUCCUGCCCAUUCUGGGCCAGGUGGUGGUGUACCUGGUCGAAUGCACACAUUGCAUUGUGUGAGGGGCCAAGUUCAAGUUCCUGGCCCCUACCUGUGUGGGGAUCCGGAGGCUUGAACCGGGAUCCUUAAUUUUUUUUUUUUCCUCCUCCAGCGUUAUUGCUGGGCUCGGUGCCUGCACCAUGAAUCCACUGCUCCUGGAGGCCAUUUUUUUUUCCCCUUCUUUUGUUGCCCUUGUUGUAGCUUCGUUGUGGUUAUUAUUAUUAUUGCCCUUGUUGACGCAAUUCGUUGUUGGAUAGGACAGAGAGAAAUGGAGAGAGGAGGGGAAGACAGAGACGGGGAGAGAAAGACAGACACCUGCAGACCUGCUUCACUGCCUGUGAAGCGACUCCCCUGCAGGUGGGGAGCCGGGGGCUCGAACCGGGAUCCUUAUGCCGGUCCCUGCGCUUUGCGCCACAUGCGCUUAACCCACUGCGCCACCGCCCGACCCCAAAUUUUUUUUUUUUAAUGCAGUGCUGGAAAAUAAAACCAGGGCCUUGUCCAUGCGUGAUACCACUGCUCAUGUCCUUUUUUUCUUUACUGGGGGGGGGGGGGGAAGGAUUAAUGGUUUACAGUUAACAAUGAAGUACAGAAGUACAGUAGUUUGUAAAUGUGUAACAUUUCGUAGUUUUCCACAUAACAGUUCAGCCUCCUCAAGACCCUCCUCUGCCAUCAUGGCCCAGGACCUGAACCCCCCACCCCCACCCCUUGUGCACCAAAAUACUUUCCUUGCUCUCAUUUUAGGGUUAUGUGGGCUUCGUAGAUGUAGAUGAGGUAAGGAGGGAGUUUACUUUGUUCUUUAAUAUUUUGUUUUUAAAAUUUUUGUCAGAGCACUGCUCAGCUCUGGCUUAUUUGUGGUACAGGGGAUUGAACCUGGGACUUUGGAGCCUCUUUGCAGAACCAUUAUUAUCUACCUCUGCCCGAGAUUUUAUUUAUUAGUCAAUGAGAAAGAUAGGUGAGAGAGAAAGAACCAGACAUCACUUUUGUUCAUGUGUUGCCAGAAUUUGAACUUAGGACCUCAUGCUUGAGAGCACAAUGCUUUAUCAAACACUGCAUCACUUCCCAAAUCAUAGGACUUUACUCUUUAUAAAAACACUGAAAAUGUAAGAUAAGUCUGUAAUACUUGGCAUUUUGCUAUUUCAGAAAUCUGUCAGUUAUAUAAUUAUGUAAGUUUUCAUUGUUAACAAUUUCUAGGAAUUUCCUAGUUGAGAUAAUAUUUUUUAGGAAUUUGCCAAGUCCAUCAACAUUAUUAUUAUUAUUAUUUUUGCCUCCAGGGGUUAUUGCUUGGGCUGGUAGCACCACCAAUCCACUGCUCCUGCAGACU